rnacentral:rRNA from 1 species
UGGGGAAUUUUGGACAAUGGGGGAAACCCUGAUCAAGCCAUCCCGCGUGUGCGAUGAAGGCCUUCGGGUUGUAAAGCACUUUUGGCAGGAAAGAAACGUCAUGGGUUAAUACCCCGUGAAACUGACGGUACCUGCAGAAUAAGCACCGGCUAACUACGUGCCAGCAGCCGCGGUAAUACGUAGGGUGCAAGUGUUCAUCGGAAUUACUGGGCGUAAAGCGUGCGCAGGCGGUUCGGAAAGAAAGAUGUGAAAUCCAAGAGCUCAACUUUGGAACUGCAUUUUUAACUACCGUGCUAGAGUGUGUCAGAAGGAGGUGGAAUUCCGCGUGUAGCAGUGCAAUGCGUAGAUAUGCGGAGGAACACCGAUGGCGAAGGCAGACUCCUGGGAUAAUACUGACGCUCAUGCACGAAAGCGUGGGGAGCAAACAGG